CCUACGGGAGGCAGCAGUGGGGAAUAUUGCACAAUGGGGGAAACCCUGAUGCAGCAACGCCGCGUGAAGGAAGAAGGUGUUCGGAGUGGAAACGUCUGUUCGUAGGGAAGAAGAAUGACGGGAGCGAAGGAGCAAGCCACGGCUAACUACGUGCCAGCAGCCGCGGUAAUACGGAGGGGGCAAGCGUUGUCCGGAAUUACUGGGGGUAAAGGGAGCGCAGGCGGGAAGCCAAGUCAGCUGUGAAAACUACGGGCUUAACUUGUAGACUGCAGUUGAAACUGGUUUUCUUGAGUGCAGUAGGGGUUGGCGUCCUUCCGCGUGUAGCGGUGAUCUGCGUAGCUAUUCGGAG
rnacentral:rRNA from 1 species